rnacentral:misc_RNA from 1 species
UGAAAGAAAAGUCGCUCUUUUCGUUUGGUUUUAGGCUUCUGAGAAUCUACUUUUUUUCUUUCAGUUGUUCGCAACUUCUAUUUGCCACACACACACACACACACGCACACUUCACAGCCACAACUGUUGCAUUCGACUCUAGAUAUCAAUACCGAGCGAGAAGAAGCCGAAGCAGCCAUGACCACCGCUGACGAUGUUUGCGGCGCGUACACUCUUUCCCACUGCGACGGAAGGGUAGCGCCGACAAAGGCGAUCCUGACCAUUCACCGCUGUGGGGAAACACUUACAGCGCAUGCCACUGUUGCAAAUGACCUGCGCGGAACGGUCCAGUACGAAAACUGCCACAUCGUCGGCUCUCUGCAUUCCACGGGCAACGAGGCCAGUCCCGCUGAGGAGUCGGUGGAGCAGGCUCUGAGCAAGGGAUUUGCUGACGGAUUCAAUGUGGUGGUUGAGAUUAACCAGGUUCUUCUUAAGAACGCCAACAGUUCUUUUGUUUUCGCGCGCUUAUCGAAGCUUUCGGAUCUCAAUGGUGAGCACGCUAUCAUCGCGAUCAACGACCAGCCGCCGAAUCAGGAGAUGACGAUGACCUUCACUCCCGACGGCAACGGUGGAAGCUUUGUCACUGCCAAUAUUGCGAACUCCCUGCGCGGCAACUGCCAGAUCGAUGCGGGUCUUCUGCGCGGUGACCUUGCAACAACACAGAGCGAAGCAGACGAGAGCUUGAUGCAGGUGGAGAAGCUGAUCAGCGAGGGAUUUCAGCAAGGGUUCCAUGUUUGCACGAACGAGUCAGGGAUUCUGCUGCAGUCUUCCGAGGCCAACAUCCAGCUGUGCCGGAUUGUUAGCCACAACGACCUUGAGGGUGAGUAUGUGCUGAAGUCGUUCAACGGUGCUGCUGUUCCCACACGCAACCAGCCGAGCAUCGUUUUCAAGCCUGUCAACACAAACGAGGUAGAAAUCUCCAUUGUUGUGACUAAUCGCAUUCGCGGGACUGCUGCCCUGAAUCAGAACGUAUUGUCCUCUGAAGAGCCCCUCAUGUCGACUCGCAUGAUGGGAACUGAGGAGGAGUCGCAGCUGGAGAACGCCUUCAACGUUGGUUUUCAGUACGGCCUCGAGACUAUUUCCCACGGCAACGAGCUGACGCUGAAGAACCAGGAUUGCAAAUUUGUCUUGGUGAAAGCGGCGGCUCCAGCGGCCCAACACGGCGGCCCGACCUACAAAGGAACGUACUGCAACAAGUGCUUCAAAACCGAGGGUAACGGUCUACUAUUCCGCAUCGUCAACGAGCACGAGAAGAAGUGGGCGUUUUACAACGACACAGAAGAUCUCCGGAUCCGCGUGCGUGCCACGUUCGGCGCUCGCUCUAAGAUUGAAGCUCUAGGCAACGCCAACAUGUACAAAGAUGACGACGGCCGCUACGUCGUCGAGGUCACCGUGGAUCCUCAGGCUACGGAGAUGUUCAUUCAAGGCGAUGUGAACGGCUUCAGGGUGCUGUACGACGCUCAGCCCAUUUAGAAGCUGAUUCCAUAGUGUUUUUUUUUUUGCGUUGUGUUUGAGCUCAAAACCUAUUCCUUUCUAUUUUCCAGAGCGAAAGACAAAAAAAAAAACUGUGUGAUAUAGAUUUGAAUUAUGUGGACCCAUCUUUUGUGUGCGCCUAGAGCCAUCCUAGUCGUCAGGGACAGACAAUUCAAGUUCUGGUUUCUUUGCCUUUUUCCCCUCGCGCAGAGACUCUUUGGAUUCUCGAUGCUCAUUCAUCCGUGUAUUUUGCUCUCAUUUUGUUCACGAACUAAGUUGUCCGGGCAGGUGACAUGUAUCUCAAAUUCAUUGUCCCACUGAUUCAUGCUCUCUGUUUUUUUUUCCUCAAUAUACACUUUGAGCAUGUGCUCCCCAUGUUUUGUUGGUAGAGUUUAUGUACAAAGACGCUCUGUAUAUCGUGAUGUUUGUUGGCACAGGUCACUUUGUUGAAGACGAUCUCUGCCUCCAAAAAGCGUAAGAGUGAGACAGGUUAGGACAUUGACUUUCAGCGAAGACAACUCACCCUGCCAUGAUAUAGUGCUGAGAAGGAAAUCUCUCCUGCAGAACCUUUUCUGUGAAUGCCUAUUUCAUUCCAGUGACUUCGUGAAAUUGACCCCCCCAAAAAU